CCCACUGCAAAUACCUCCACCCCUCAUCUCCCCACACCCCCGACGAUCCUGGGAAAUAUUUAAGGUCUGGGGGAAAAGUAUCUAAGUGGCAUUCUGAGUUCCAAGUGAAAGGGUCAAGGACCCAGCAACCAGAGCUAUACCUGGGAGAAGAAUGAGAGGGACAAGGUCUCUGGUAGUCACUGCUGAUCCCAAAAAGGGUGGAGCCAGAGGAACAUGAACAGCUGGGUAACCAGGAGACAUCUGGGCCACAGGCUCCCGAAGGUUCCGCAGAGAAGGGGUUGGGGCAUGGAGUACAGUCCAGAAACAGUAGAAAAUUAGAGAGUGCUGGCAGGUGGCCUCUGGUUCUAAGGCAGUCAUCAAACUCCAGCAGGCAAGGAAGAAGUGGUAUAGAAGGAAAAUGGACAGAAGCAAGUAGCCCAAAGUAUAUAAGGCCGGUUAACUCCACAGACCCUUCCAUGUUGCUCUAUUCCACCAUCACUUCCAGCAAGUGAGACUGAAGCCUACCCCUGCAUCCACACCCCAGAGCACUAAGAGGAAGGAAAGAGUGGAGGGACACGUGAUGGUGCCCAGGGACUCCGAAUGUAGGUGACAAGGAAGAAAAGUGCUAAUUAGUUCCUAUGGGCUUCUAGACACAGGGUUUGGAGAAAGAACGGGGCCAUGGCUCUUGAGGAGACCCUCAUACCUCCUUCACCCCCUAAGCAUACUUAUCAGUGCCCAUCUCUGCUGUGGCAACCUGGACAUGACCCAUGCAACUCACAGUCCUGACCUCCAGUGGCACAUGUAUCCCCCAGGAGGGGGCAUGGAGGGAGCAGAGUGGGUGGCCUUUGUAGAUUGACUAGCAUGCUUGCAGGAUUGUUGGUUCCCCUCCCAAUCUCACAGUGGGUUGGUUCUGUGCCCAUUUGUCUCACAAUGCUUCUAACUCUGAUCUUUCUGAUCACAAACCACACAACUUGUAUACAGAGCACCAAAAUUAGAUAGGAAUGGAAGGGAUGUCCAAAAGUGCCCAGUGAUGCCAAGUGUCAGUGGUGGUGCACGCCUUUAUUCCCGGCACUUAUGAGGCAAAGGCAGGCAGAUCUCUGUGAGUUCAAGGCUAGCCCGGUCUAUAAAGCAGGUUUCAGGACAGCCAGGGCUGUUAUACAGAAAAACCCUAUCUGGAAAAACUUAAAAAAAAAAAAAAAAAGCCAGGCGGUGGUGUCACAUGCCUUUGGUCCCAGCACUCAUGAGGCAGAGGCAGGUGGAUCUCUGUGAGUUCGAGAUCAGCCUGGUCUACAAGAACAAGUUCCAGGACAGCCUCAAAAGCCACA
rnacentral:lncRNA from 1 species